AAAUUGAAGAGUUUGAUCAUGGCUCAGAUUGAACGCUGGCGGCAGGCCUAACACAUGCAAGUCGAACGGUAACAGGAAGCAGCUUGCUGCUUUGCUGACGAGUGGCGGACGGGUGAGUAAUGUCUGGGAAACUGCCUGAUGGAGGGGGAUAACUACUGGAAACGGUGGCUAAUACCGCAUAACGUCGGAAGACCAAAGAGGGGGACCUUCGGGCCUCUUGCCAUCAGAUGUGCCCAGAUGGGAUUAGCUUGUUGGUGAGGUAACGGCUCACCAAGGCGACGAUCCCUAGCUGGUCUGAGAGGAUGACCAGCCACACUGGAACUGAGACACGGUCCAGACUCCUACGGGAGGCAGCAGUGGGGAAUAUUGCACAAUGGGCGCAAGCCUGAUGCAGCCAUGCCGCGUGUAUGAAGAAGGCCUUCGGGUUGUAAAGUACUUUCAGCGGGGAGGAAGGUGUUGUGGUUAAUAACC
rnacentral:rRNA from 2 species